AUGAACGCUGGCGGCGUGCCUAAUACAUGCAAGUCGAGCGAACGGACGAGAAGCUUGCUUUUCUGAUGUUAGCGGCGGACGGGUGAGUAACACGUGGAUAACCUACCUAUAAGACUGGGAUAACUUCGGGAAACCGGAGCUAAUACCGGAUAAUAUUUUGAACCGCAUGGUUCAAAAGUGAAAGACGGUCUUGCUGUCACUUAUAGAUGGAUCCGCGCUGCAUUAGCUAGUUGGUAAGGUAACGGCUUACCAAGGCAACGAUGCAUAGCCGACCUGAGAGGGUGAUCGGCCACACUGGCACUGAGACACGGUCCAGACUCCUACGGGAGGCAGCAGUAGGGAAUCUUCCGCAAUGGGCGAAAGCCUGACGGAGCAACGCCGCGUGAGUGAUGAAGGUCUUCGGAUCGUAAAACUCUGUUAUUAGGGAAGAACAUAUGUGUAAGUAACUGUGCACAUCUUGACGGUACCUAAUCAGAAAGCCACGGCUAACUACGUGC
rnacentral:rRNA from 1 species